rnacentral:rRNA from 1 species
GAUGAACGCUAGCUACAGGCUUAACACAUGCAAGUCGAGGGGCAGCAUGAACAAAGCUUGCUUUGUCUGAUGGCGACCGGCGCACGGGUGCGUAACACGUAUCCAAUCUGCCCGCGGCUCGGGGAUAGCCCAUCGAAAGAUGGAUUAAUACCCGAUGGCGUGGUCACUCCGCAUGGGGUUUCCACUAAAGGUUUUCCGGCCGCGGAUGGGGAUGCGUAUGAUUAGGUAGUAGGCGGGGUAACGGCCCACCUAGCCUUCGAUCAUUAGGGGUUCUGAGAGGAAGGUCCCCCACACUGGAACUGAGACACGGUCCAGACUCCUACGGGAGGCAGCAGUGAGGAAUAUUGGUCAAUGGGCGAGAGCCUGAACCAGCCAAGUAGCGUGAAGGAAGACUGCCCUAUGGGUUGUAAACUUCUUUUGUUCGGGAAUAAAGUGCAGUAUGUAUACUGUUUUGUAUGUACCGUUCGAAUAAGCAUCGGCUAAUUCCGUGCCAGCCGCCGCCGUAAGAC